AGCAAACCUCUGCAAAUCGCCCCUCUUCAAGCUCCAUACAACACCGGCCAGAAUCAGGUUCACACCGAUUCACACCGACGGACGUUUUAAGUGUUCCCUAAGACAUAACCAUCGGAGAAGGUGGGCGAGUGUCGAACUUCAUUUCCUGCCUGAGUCGUCGGUCCAAGUCCUCGCUGCUCAACGCCCCCUCUCUCUCUCUCUCUCUCUCUCUCUCUCUCUCUCUCUCUCUCUCUCUCUCUCUCUCUCUCUCUCUCUCUAUUGCUUACCUAACUCAGUCUCAGAAAGGAAGACUUGAGAACCAAAUUAAGCUUUCUAGAAGGUUUGGAUUUGCGGAAAAACAUUAAAAACGGAACAAAAAGGAUCUCUGUUCAUCGAUUCUCAUAGAUUUGAUGGAAGAAGGGCAGGCCGGUGGUGCUGCUGGUGGCGACAGUGGAGGUCCAGCUCCUUUCCUUCAGAAGACUUAUGACAUGAUCGAUGACUCGUCGACCGACAAAAUCGUGUGAUGGAGCGAUAACAAGAACAACUUCGUUUUCUGGAACCCGCCCGAAUUCGCUGCUCGUCUUCUCCCCACCUAUUUCAAGCACAACAAUUUCUCUAGCUUCAUCAGGCAGCUCAACACCUAUGGAUUCCGGAAGAUUGACCCGGAGAAAUGGGAGUCUGCGUAUGAAGAUUUCUUGAAGGAUCAGAAGCAUCUUCUUAAGAACAUAUACCACAGGAAGCCAAUUCAUAGCCACAGUCAUCCUCAGGGUUUUGGAGGGAAUGCAGAAAAGCGGCUCUUGAAGAAGAGAUUGAGACUCUUUGGAGAUUCAGACAACGCCAAUCUCGGACGAAGGUUCAGAUGGAAGAUUUCCCUCACUUAUUCUUCUAAAUCUUUGGGGUUUUCCUCUAUUUUUCGUUUUUAAGUGAAGGGUCUUUUGGUCUCUUCACAUUCACAUGAGUGUAAUUUUGAUAUAAAAAUGGUGAUCUCACCAGCUAACAGUUUUAGGCUCACGGAUACUAACGGAUUGGAUUCAAAUGUAAGAAUCUUUCAAACUACAGGAGAGGGAGACGUAAAUCGUUCAAACCCUUGGACCCACAUGUAAUUUCGACAAAAUACAGGGGAAAGGGUUGUAAUUUUUCCUUUAUUUUUUUUAUGAAUUUUAUAUUGGCUAAUUCGUUAA